rnacentral:lncRNA from 1 species
CAGUCAUAAUCGACAACACGCCGCAUAUCCUGUAAAAAUGAAAGUUUCUCUCUCUCAGCUCUCUGCAGGUGGAGGCGUCUGUCUCUCUGCUGCCUCCAGUGGCUCGUUCAGGCUAUCACAGGAUUGUUCUGAUCCUCAGCAGUGCCGCGCCAGUCAACUGGGCUCUGGUGGCUCCAGAGGUCAGAGGUCACGUCAGGGUCUAUUCGUCCAACAGCGUGAGUCUGCCGUACCGACCUCAAGCCCCCGGCCUCAGCAUGACCAGCACCGUGACCUCUGACCUCCUCAGCCCCCCCGACCUUCUAGAAUGGGCCAAUCAGAACGGCUUUCCCAAAGUGACCUCGUACACCGAGGCUGAUCUGGCCAAUCGCUUCGUCAUCAGGUUAAGGGAAGGUGGAAAAGAAGGGUCUUCAGACGGGGGGCAGGAUGACAUCAGCAGUGAGCCGCUCACCUGCCAGUGUGGGGGCGGAGCUCUUACUGUUACCGUGGAUACACAGAUGCUACAGGCUGCACUUUCCAGAGCACAAAAAGCAGAUAAGAAGCUGCUUCAGUCGGCUCAGCAGAUGCUGCAGGACAGUAAGACAAAGAUCGACAUCAUCCGUAUGCAGAUCCGUAAAGCUAUGCAGGCCACCGAACAGACAGAUGACACUCAGGGUAUGUCUCACUGCUACAGACAAGUUCUGUCUGUCUCACUCCCUCCGACAAAUGAGCGUUUAUCGGCUUAACAUGAUCAUAGAGCUCCUUAAUGGCUUAAACACAGUGUAAAGGUCCUUUAGCAUCGCUUUUCUCUGUUUGCCUCAUUGGAGGGAGUCUCAUCUCACGUAGUUGGACUUCUUCCGCAUUAGUCUUGUCCAUACUGCAUCUCAGGUUCACUUUAUAGUGAUAUUGUGAUAUAAGGCAACUAAAAUGAUCUCCAUCCAGUGUAAUAUUUCAUAUACGGUGAGGACAUGAAUCCAUAUGUUUUGCAAACCAGUCUGUCUGCUGUCAUCUUGUCAAACAGUCUAAUUCUGACAGACAAAUGACUGUCUGUAUUACCUGACUGCUGUUUGUCUGUUUAGACGUCAGAGCAUCUCAGAGACGGUUCAUCUUCUCAAGCUAUUAAAGGAAUAGUUCACCAAAAAUUUAAAUUCUGUCAGUUUAUUCCACAAAAGGAGAAAUAGGGCAUAAUGUUCAAAUGUGUCUUUACAGUGACAGUUCAAAGUGACUACGCCAAUAAAAAUGGAUGAAAAGCAUCAUAAAGCACAACAAUCAAAGUCUUAUAAAGAUUUAUGAGAUCUUUGUGACAGAAACAGACCCAUAUUUAAUUUGCUAUUCACUGAUCAUUUUC